rnacentral:misc_RNA from 1 species
AAUCAUCAACCUCAAAUCCUUUGUGUUUUCGAGGCUUGGUCUUGAGGGUUUGCAGGCCUUUACCGGUCAGCUCCCUUUAAAUCUAUUAGCGAGACUUCCCUGUGUUGACUGUCUCUUGGCGUGAUAAUUAUCUGCGUCAAACUUGACGGUCUCGUUGGGCUUGCUUCUAAUCGUCUUCGGACAAAAGGAUCGAAGCGCAUAUAUGCGCCUCUUUUCAAACCUU